UUAUGGGAAGAGGCAGUAUGAGUGAGACUUUGGGUAAAAGAAAAGAAAAAGAGUGCACGAAAAACAUUGAGAAGGUGGAGACUAUCAUCUCUCUCUCUCUUUAUAUUCCUUUCUCCCUUAACUUUCAACCCCCAAAAAAAUCAAAAGCAAUCAUCAUGUUUUCUGAAUCAUCACCACCAAAACCUUACUUCUUUCACCGCCAUCAUCAUUGCUCCCACAACCAAAAAUAUUUCAAAAUAUCAUCAUUACUAUCAUCACCAUAUACUCCUCGUCAGAAAAAACGUGGUCAUCGCAAUAAUGAUGUUUAUCUUCGUGAUAGUGAUAAUGAUAAUGAUAAUGAUGAAGACGACGAAGAAAUUAAAAUGGAGAGAGUAUAUUUAAUUAAUUGAUUUGGAUCAAUUGAAACGAAUCCAUUCUCUCUCUAAACUCACUUUUUUUUUCCUUCGUUGGGGAAUCAAGCUUCCUGGUCCGAUCCCUUUGCUAUUUCAAGCAAAGUUAUCACUUUUUUUACUACUAGAUCUCGCACUCAAAACUUGAAGAAAUAUUGCUAUUUGCAGUUCAGAGAAAAGAAAAAAUAGAAGAGAAGUUUUGCGAAUAGCCAUCAAAAACAGCUUAAUUAGGCUUCAUAUAUAGCUAUAAUUUGUAAGUUCGUAGUUAUAUGUUCGAGGGAGGAGAGACGAGCAAGAUUGGGAGAGGAAGGAGAGAGGCUAGCGAGAUUGGGAGAGGAAGGAGAGAGGCGAGCGAAAGAGGUCAGAAAGUUGAGGGAGGUGAAUUAUAUAUGUAUAUCUUCGAAUUGUAUAUGCAUAUCUAUCAGAUACAUACUUGUAUACAUAUGUGUAUAGCUAAAUUACUGCUAUGUAGAGAGGAGAGAGGCAAUAGCUAAAAAGAGAUUAUAAAUGAUAAUUAAUUCAAACUAUAAUUAUAUUAGAUAACUUACUAAUAUAUAUUUGUUUAAUUUAUUCGCGUAAUUUUUACUCAAAUGUUAUAGCUUAUAGCCCAACUCAUGAAUGUUACGAUUUUAGCCCUAAAUCUUUUCUUCUAUUACAAAAGUGGCUAAAGCUUCUUUCUAUCUCUUUUUUUAAUUAAAAAAUAACAAUAAAAAAUUGGAAAUCAGGAAAGAAAAUGGAUAUGAAAUCACAAGGCGAAGAAUCGAACUCUCACCAUUCAUCAAUGUAUUUAUAGUUUAAAUAAUCACCAAAUAUAUUAUAAUACUCAUGCAUAAUUUAUAUUUAUAGUUCAAAUAAUCAUCAAUGUAUUAUAAUACUUAUGCGUACUUCAUCCUUCCGGUA